GUUUGUGGCCCCCAGGACGACCAAGCUGCUGGAGGACUCCAAGACUCUGGGCGACUGCGGCUUCACCAGCCAGACGGCGCGGCCGCAGGCGCCGGCCACCGUGGGGCUGGCCCUGCGCACCGGGGAGGAGUCCUUCGAGGGGCUGCGCAUCGAGCCCUUCUCGAGCCCCCCCCGAGCUGCCGGACGUGAUGAAGCCGCAGGACUCGACCGGGGCCGCCACCGACCCCCCCCUGCCCUGAGCCCCCCCCGGGCUCAGUUCGGGGGAUUUUGGGGCUCUCGGGGCUGGGGGGGAGGGGAGGGAGAAAAAAAAACCCCAAUAAAAAAUCCUGGGCAGCGA